UAAGACCCAUGAUGUCUUUAAGUUUGUCCCAGAAAACACAAAUGAACACAGAAGCCUGAUUAUUUUACCACUGCCAUACAUGGAGAACAUUUUCAAAAUGUAGUUUAGCUGGACAAGCACAUAAUUUACCUUACAAGCUACUGUCAGCUUAACAACAGAUCCAUUUUCAAGUAGCUGGCAUCUAAGACACUCACAAACUCUCUUCGAAAUUCAGAGUAGGUACUGUAAGUGCAGGGUAUCUGCAACACUGGACCACAUGUAUGUGCAACUGGACACCUUCGUAAACCCCUGAGAUCUGUAAACUCAACAUCAAUAACAUCAGCCCCAGUGGUAAAGUGCAGAAAUGUAUGCAGUUUUGCUGUGAGAAGGUUGUUUCUCAUUGGGUUUAAGCAAUGCAAUAAUGCCUUUUGCGGUUGGAAUUUUGGAUUCAUAAAGGGCUUAAACUGCAGACAGAGUUGGAAGCAGACUUUUUAAAGUACACUGAGCAUACAUCAUUUUAAGAGCAUACACUGGCUUCUGUAUGAGUUGUUUGUGAGCAGUCUGUAUGAUGGUGGGUUAUGGAUAGGGUUAGGGCUCACCAACUGCGUUUUCAUGUUAUUGCCACGUGUUGUGAUGAAAGACCACAUUUUGAGUUCCAUAUUUUGUUAAUGCUUAGAGAGAGAACUGAUGAAACAGAGAAUGUAAUAUAAUUUCUGUGAUCAUUAUAUCUUUUAUUAUUCCAGGGCCUUCUCAAGUUGAUCACGCUCAGUACUUCCUAGAAAGGCCACAACAAUCAUACCAAUCCCCAAGAAUAACAACCCAACUACAAAAGCGCCUGCAAACCCCAUUCCAGUACCAGCUAACACCGAUGUUAUGUCUGACAGAAUUGUUCCAAUUGCAAUUAGCAUACCAACUACACAAGUGGAAACAGAGCCUGUAACAUGACAAAGUUUGUGAAGAACUUCUGAGACUUGGUAGUCAUGGUAGUCAUGAACAGAGACAUGUUCUUCAGUUUCUCAUACAGCGUCGGUUCCAGGUUCUCCUUCAGCAGCGUGUCAAUCUUCAUUUCUGCCUGGAUCUCAUAUAUGCGUUCAAUGAUUAAGUCACAGUUCUCCUUCACAGUAGCUUUCUUGUUCACGGCAAUCGGACUGAAGGACAAACCUAAGGGUCUCAAUGAGUUGGUUGGUGGCGCAGAAGUUGUUUUUCAUCAAUCUAGAAGCUCUUGAUUUUUGCGGAUAAGCCUCUCCCUUCUUUCAGGAAUUCCAGGGUAAAAAUAUCACUCCACAUUUUUCUUCAGGGUCUUGAAAUAAAGAGAGAAACUUUAGGAAUUUCACAAGCGCUGAUGCUAGUGAUUGUGAUAAACAUUAAUAAGACUGAAUAUGUAGUAAUGUAAGAGCUAAUUUUCUAUGAAAGAAGCAUUACAUGAGGUUAGUGCAGACAUUGUUUGUUUUACAACAACAAAUAUAGAAAGCUGUUUGGUUUUUGACAUUUUUGUAGCUCUGCAGUGUGUCUAAUGUAUAAGCAGUUGCAUUACUCAGAAAAACAACUCACAUUUCAGGACAGCCAGUGUUGAAGAAUUUCAGUCAGCUGAAAAUCUUCAGUAUUUUAAGGAAACUAGCUCAAAACACUGUUUUAACCUAACAGCACUUGUGCAUUGCAACAAGCAUGACAAAUUCUCAUCUCAAUAUUGUGUGAAUUCAUGAUUCCAAAAAUAAUAAUAUAUAAUAAUAUUUAAAAUCAUUGGUUUUAUUCAUGUCAAAAAUAUUAUUUAACAUCACUCAAGCAACAUAAAUACAUCACUUUAUACAUAACAAAUCGGUUUUUAAGGGGUUAAAUCAGGUAACAAUGACAGGUUACCUCUUUUCUACAGUGUACAUCAGUAUCAGCAUAUGAAUCCACUGAACGCAGUGGAUGUAUAACUGUAUAGUUCACAGUCCAGUUAUACAGAAAUCUACAAUCACAAAUGUCCAGCUUAUAUUUUGUCUGCUUUUGCUCUAUUGAUAAUCAAUACUUAUUUUAUUUGAUCAUUAACAGCCCUAUAGUGUCAUCAUUCCAACUGAAUUAAUUUAAUACAUUUAAGAAUUUACAUGAAACAUGACACAUACAUUUAAAAAGGUAAAAAUGUGAGUUUAAAAGGACAAUUGUCACCACUAAUGAAAAAUGUUAUGUCCAUUGCUGCAUAGGUUUGUGACUCACUUUCAGUUAUUCUGCUGGCUUCAUCGAAUCCCUCAGUUUUAUGUUGUUUUACUCCACCUGUGAGAUUAAAAGCAGCAUCUCCAUCCAUGUGAACCGCAACAGUCCUGCUCUAUUUGUCAUAUUCAUACAGAAUUAAUUUAACCUGUCUUUCUAUGGGAAAAUGCGAUCGCUAGUGCGCACAUACUGAGCGUGGUUAUCGGACUGUAUUUGAACCACACAAAUGUACAGUAUUUGAAUCAAUAUAAAUAAAUGUAUUCAUUCUACACUACAGCACUGAACAUCAACACAGUCAAUGAACCAUCAUAUAAUUUAUAUCCAGUCUUGCUAUCAGACCUUUUCAGAUGAUUGCUAAGAAUUGUUUUUAAAAAUCUGUUCUGUUAGAGUACUCCUGGUACUCCUUGUUUGUUCUGGGUGUUGUAACAGACUGUUCUUUUCCCAGCUUUAAAGAUCAACAUAUUAGAUUUCAACUAAGCUGAAAUGAACCUAAAUGCUAUCAGAUAAAGUUGAGGAUUGUUCUUGCUUACCUGUCUUUAUUCUGAAGCUCUGAAGACUGUCUGAGCUGUAGUUUGUGCCGUCUUCUGGAUGAGUUUCUCGAGAUAAAAACAAACAAAAAAAACCUUUCAAAUAUUCAGUAUAUGGAGCAAGUUCCAGUUUAUAAAUGCUAGUCUAUGAUGAAUGAGUGUGGCCAUGACAUUGUAUCCUGUAUUUUUAUCAAUGGCUUCCCUAUGACAAACUCAAAAUAUAAAAACAUAUUUACAAACACAUAGUAUCUCAUUACUAAAUUCGUAUAAAAAUUACACUCUUAUAUUACUUGUGAACUUGUUGUAACAAUUUGCAAAAUGUAAUACUUUACUACAAAAAUAAAAAAGUAAUCUUCAUUAAAAGUGUUCAAAUACAGGCAUAGGCGAUGGUUUGGCCACCCCGAGAUAAAUUACAUGUUAAGUGAAUUUAGCCACAUUACAUGUUAUAUUGACUCAGAGUAAAAAAAAAAAAAAAAUGCAUCAAUCUUUUAAGCCACAUUUAUGGUUUUAUUUUUCCCCCAUUAUAAAUUAUGCACACAAACUUGCAGAAAUAUAUUUCUGGAGUUUCUGGCCUCCAACAAGAUGAUCCUAAAACAACAACAAAGGCACUUUCCAGUAAACAGUACAGCAACAAUGGACUCUUUGCCAAUAAUACCUACUGUGGCUUUUCCUGAAAGAAAAAUAUAACCGUUAAAAAAAAGAAUAAAACAAUCUAAAAAAAAAAAUCAAAUCAAAGGCUAAAAACUUGUUUUUUAUAAACACGGCAUCCUUUGUUGCUGAAAACGUCUUCCUGCGUUUGUUUCUCAGAAUUACAGUUGCGCUGCUAAAGUUUUGAGUCACCCUUUUUUCAUUUUCCCCUAGUGUUUUUGUCCUCAUGAUUCAGAUUUUUUCUUCAAUUAAUUUAUUUGAUUUUUGAAAAUCAUUAAAGAUAUUCUUUGCACAAACAAAAAAAGAAUCAUAUCAACAAUCAUACACUUUCUAUUUACCGGUUAUGCCCUCUGAGUGCAAGAUUUCAUUUGAUUGGAUGUUGAUAAAGACAAGAUUCAUCAUUGCCCACAGCCAACACCUUCACUUUAUCCAGAACGCUGGGCACCACCACUACACGACUAGAGGCCACGCGUCUAUUUUGAUUUCGGAGAUGUGUAUGGAUCUAUUGAAGAAACACAUUUCUGUAUUGUACAAAAAGUGCAACUUCAAUCCAGAACAAUCAAUAGUUUGAGUAUGUUCAGAGUACUAGCUCUAGGUGGGUGUAAAGUUCACCACUGGUCAACUUUAGGACCUUUGAGAGAAUGAAAAACUACACUGACUCAAAGCUGUUUCACCACCAUGAUUCUCAUAAUGCCCUCUGUCAGUUGGCCCAAGCUGCAAAAAUCUCCAUUUUCCAUAUGGAAAACAGCAACAUUUGCGGAGUCAGUUAAAUACAGACUGUCUGUAUCAGCCUGAAACACAAAAAAGUUAUACAUGAAAUACGCCUUUUACAUCUAGGGAUUUUUUUCAAGACCAAUUAAACUACACUUGCAACUCAUUCAAGUCCAGUUUGAGCAACUUAACACGUCAGAGUUGACAAACAGUAUUGUGUGAGGUUUUCCUGCAUAUCAAGCUCCUCCCGGUCUACUAACAGGAUGAGUAGCCCUUUCAGCAGAAAGUUCACUCUGUUGUUGACUUCUAGCCAUAUUCUUUCAAUAAUGUGAUUCUGUUUUAUAAAUGAAAAGAAAGACUAGACAGUAAAGUUUGAUGAUGCAAACUAUGGUUUUGGGUUGGACAAAGACUUGUUAUUAAAUGCUUAAAGUUUGAAAGUUUUACAACAAAAACAGAUAGUCAUUCAGAAAGAUAGACAUAUAUCAAAAGUAUCUAGAGGGUUUAGUAAGAGUAUGGUGAGGCAGUUUCUAUGGAGUUGUAAUCUGGUUAGUUAGUGUUUGCAUGUGUAGCAUGUCUGGACCGGUCACCUUCAUACACACAAAGACCUCGCGAUCACUCGUUAAUGAGAGUUUAUUAACAACAGCAGAGAAGAAACAGUAAUGCAGGUAUUAGAGAUCGUGGAUGGACAGAUGAUGGAGGGAUGCACACACUUAACAGAAGGUAAGUAUUCACACAAAGACACUGGAGCACGAAGACAAGGAGAACAUGCUGGAGGAACACAGGAGGUAAGUACCAGGAGACGUAGGAGUGACAAGGGAGAAGUGAACAAGACUGGACACUGGAGUGAGGUGAGGUAUGUGCUGAAGUAGCCAGCGUAAUGAGUGUGUUGACUGAAGACAGGCGUGUGUGAUCAGUACUCUGGUGAGGGAGUGCAUUGUGAUUGGCUGGUGAGGGAGCCUGGCUGAUCUGUGACAUUAUUUGAAUUUAUAAAUAUACAAAAAUGCAUCGCUUCGCUUCAGAAGGCCUUUAUUAACCCCCUGGAGCCAUAUGGGUUGCUUUUUUUGUGGAUGGAUGCAUUAUUUUUGGCUUCAAAAUGCCAAACCCUAGUAAAAAAAAAGUAUACUUUUUUGUAUUUCAAAUAUAUUCCCUUUUCAAUAAAGUAUAUUAGCAUCAUACUUUUACAUAUUUUCACAAUACAACUUUUAACACACUUUAAAAUAAUUGUAAUCCAGUAUAUUUUCUAAAAAAUAUAUUUUAGAAAAAAAUAUGUAAAAUGAAUGUUAUGUGUAUUUUUUAAAAGUGUACUUAUUUGAACAUUACUUUAAAAUAUAUUUUAGGUAUAUUUUAAACUGAAUGCUCAAAAAAGUCAUUGUAAAAAUUCACAAAGUAUUUUUAAAAAAAUACUUUAUUUAAUAUCCUUAAGUUGUGGUGUAUUUAAAGUUAAAUUUGAGUAUAAUUUUUAUAUUUUUUUCUGAAGUUUUUUUUAUACAUGCUUGGAAUUAAUUUAACUUCUUUCAGAAAGUGUUAAAAUGUAUGACUAAUGCGUUAAAAGCCCAUUUUUAAUUAUAUGCAGUGUAGACAAUUUGCGUAAAUAUGUUUAAUAAGUUUACACUGGCAAAAAAGAAUCAUGUUACAGUCAUACACACAAAUCUACAUUAAACAACACACCAGCAGCACACGUACAUGCAAGAAAAUAUGAGUUGAGUGGUUGAGUCUUAUUGGAAUUCAAAUGUCUCUUCAACUUGGUCUGUGACCAAUCAGAUUUUGUUGCUCACUGCCUUCAGCCAAUCAGAGCUGCUGACGUCAUGGUACUCGUCUGAAUCCCCCUCACUCACUCACAGAAGGCUUGCAGGUGAAGUACAAUGUAGCAGUGCAUUAUUUAUUUAAUAAAACACUGAAAGUGCAAUACAUCGCAGCCUUGAUGGCGACAACAACCGGCUAGGAAUAAAACGGCCAACACAAUCCCGGAAAGAACCAGAGAAAAAGUCCUGCUAUUUGCAGGUGAAUUGUAGUCUACCAGUUAUUUCAGAUCACUAAUUAUUCUUCUCAGUCUCACAAAUGAAAACUGUUGAUGCUUAGUUUUGCUUUAACAAACGGAGAACGAGGUUUCGGCUUGAAAUUUUCUUGUUGAGUUUGUGUGUGGUGGUUUAUGGCACAUGUUUGUAUGCAGCAUCAAAACGCCCCGUUCAUAUGAUUGGUCAAGUUGCCCCGUAUUCUGUACGAUAUUAAUUCAUAAAGAGUCGUAUACUGUAUAUGCUUGACUAUGUUCUGGAAACAAUAUCGACAUACCGUACUGAUACAGCUCCCUACUGCUAAUCCUCAUUUACUGUUCAACAAUAGUAUUGGUUCAAUGUAGGAUUUAGACAGACUAUUGUAAACGUGAAUAAAGAGUUGAACAUGCUGUCUGACCUUAUAUCUUUUGUAUAUUCUGUUAUCAGAUGCUGUUCUUCACGAGUUUCUGCGGUCACUGCCUCUGUGUAAGCGGCCAUCAGACACAAUAAUGAGAAGCUCAUCAGAAAAUUGAAUAUAAUGUGUAAUUUGUAUUUGUGUAUAGAGGGUCAGUAAGGCCAUUGGUCCAAUAAUGUUUUUUCUUUUUUUCUCGGUGUUCUUUAAUGAAAAACAUGGUAAGUUUUGCUGAAACCAUGUGAAGCUUAAAUAAAAAAACAUUGGACUUGUCAAUGAAUAAUGUCUCUUCAUUAGUGAUGUUGUUACAUUUUAUUUAUUUUAAUGGCCUUGAAAAAAAAAUGCAUUCAACAUUGGGAAAAUGUCUUAUAAGUAAUUCAUUAAACUGUAGUUAAAUGUUAGCAUGAUUAUAAUACUGUAUUGUGUGAGAUUAUGUAAUUCAAAGUACAGUAGUCAACAUUUUAAGUGGAUCAAAAAAGUUCAUCAAAGUUGUCGUAAGAACUAAGUUGUCCUAAGAAGAAGGUUUUAGGACAACUUUGAAAGGUUUUGAUCCACUUCAAAUGUUGACUACUAUAUUUUGUACAAAAGUAAUAACAAAGUAUAUUGGUAUUGACUACAAAGUGUGUAAUUUUUAGUAUUUGGAAUAAGCCAAAGGUACUGAGCAUACAGUAUAUACUAUUACCUGUAAAAUAAUAUAUUCAUAGUAUAUUUGUGUGUUCGGAAGACACUCGUAAUUAAUUUGUAAUGUACUUAAAUCACAAAUAAUGUAUACUUAUAACACAAAUAAAAUAUACUUAUAAUACAAAUAAAAUAUACUUUAUAACACAAAGUGCACUUUAAUAUCACUAAUCAAGCAUGCAAUUAGUCCCUACACAGGCAUAUACUUAAAGUGUACUAAGUAUACUUGAAGUUGUUCCAAUUUAGCACACAAAAGUACACUAAAUAUACAUAAAGUGAUGCUUUAAUACAACUUAAUUUCAACUAAAAUAUACUUAUUACAAAAUAGCACACUUCAAGUUAACUAAUCAUUAACAUACUUGAAGUAUACUGAUAAUUAGUCUGGCUGCAAGUAUACUUAGCAUACUUUUUUUCACCAGGGCAGUUUAAUUAAAAAUAUUAAAAAUAAAUACAAUACAUACAAAAAGUAUAAUAAUGCAGGGAUUUUCAACCUUUUAGGACACGCACCCCCCAUGUUUAUCUAAUUUCACUCGCCAGUUUACUGUCCGGGGUUAUGUGUGUUUCAUCGUGCUGCUCGCGUCCGGUGUAGACGGGUAUUAGUUAAAAACUGAAACAUUAAAAAUAUAAAUGGCUUACUGACUUUAGAGUGACGGCUGAGCUUGUUUUUCAUUCAGUUUAACCUUAGUUUUUUAUCAUCUCUGGUAUUUUUGAUUUUUACAAA